AGCGAACGCUGGCGGCAGGCCUAACACAUGCAAGUCGAACGAACCUUUCGGGGUUAGUGGCGGACGGGUGAGUAACACGUGGGAACGUGCCUUUAGGUUCGGAAUAACUCAGGGAAACUUGUGCUAAUACCGAAUGUGCCCUUCGGGGGAAAGAUUUAUCGCCUUUAGAGCGGCCCGCGUCUGAUUAGCUAGUUGGUUGAGGUAAUGGCUCACCAAGGCGACGAUGAGUAGCUGGUCUGAGAGGAUGAUCAGCCACAUUGGGACUGAGACACGGCCCAAACUCCUACGGGAGGCAGCAGUGGGGAAUCUUGCGCAAUGGGCGAAAGCCUGACGCAGCCAUGCCGCGUGAAUGAUGAAGGUCUUAGGAUUGUAAAAUUCUUUCACCGGGGACGAUAAUGACGGUACCCGGAGAAGAAGCCCCGGCUAACUUCGUG
rnacentral:rRNA from 1 species